rnacentral:lncRNA from 12 species
GCAGCGGGUUCUGCCCUGCACCAGGGGCUGUUCCAGCAGGGAGAUCGGGGAGGGGUCUGGGGGCUCUGGGGGGUUCCAGACCCCAGGGGCAGCUGUGCCUGACGUGGCUCUGCUCUGCUGUCCCAUUGCAGAGAGGACGGGGAAGGUGCUGGGCGAGUUCUGCCGCUGCUACAGGGAGCAGUUUGGGGUGGCUCUGUUCAACAGCGUGCGCUACGAGAUCGAGGGCGCGGGGGGCCCGCAGGCACAGCUGCUGCACCGCAAGGUGCCACUGGAGGACCACGUCAUCUACUCAGGCAACAUCUUCCAGUACAUUGAGGAGAACAAGAAGUGGAGGAAUCGCUUCUGCGUGGUGCCGCACAACUAUGGGCUGGUGCUCUACGAGAACAAACUGGGCUAUGAACGGGAGCUGCCGCCCCGGGUGCUGGUCAACAGUGCUGGCUACAAGGUCCUCACCUCCGUGGAGCAGUACCUGGAGCUGGUCAACAACAGCCUGCCUGGCGUGACCCCGAAAUCUGGGCACUCCCCCAUCGUGAAGUGCCCCACGGAUUUCCCGCUGCUGCUGUGGCACCCCUACGCCCGGCACUACUAUUUCUGUGUGAUGACGGGCAAGGAGCAGGAGAGGUGGCGGGCGGUGUUCCAGGACUGCGUGCGGCACUGCAACAACGGUGGGUGACACCUGGCACACAGCACCGCCCUCCUGCCCCGCCCAGGCACCCUGCAGGGGCCAGCCUGAGGCUUUGGGUGGAGGGGAUGGCGUGGGGCUCAAUGAGGAGGAGUUGGGUGGGAGUAAUUCUGGAGAAGGGAAGGAUUUGGGAGAUCCUUGCAGGACCUCCGGGAGAGCCGGAGAGGGAUUUGAGACAAGGGGUGGAGGGACAGGACACAGGGAAUGGCUCUUCCAGGAUUAGAUGGGAUAUUGUAAAGUGCUGGAAUGCUCUUCCCAGAGAGGUGGUGGAAUCACCAUCUCUGGAUGUGUUUAAGAAAAGGCUGGACAUGGCACUUGACUCUGAGUCGAGGUGUUAGGACAGAGAUGUUAGGACAUAGGUUGGACUCGAUAGUCUUAGAGG